UUUUCACAGCUCUGACAUUAAGGAGAUCCAGCUUUUAAUAAUGCUGAAAACUCAAAGUAAAUGUUCUCCAAAGGGUCAGGCACACCUUUCCUGCACUUGUGAGCUGAAAGUUGCACAACUCCCUGUCAAACGUGUCACAAAUCAACAAUCUGAAACAGCAAGCAGAAAAUGCUGAAUGCUGAAAGCACUCCGCAACUCAGGUUGCAGUUUUCAACUUCUCGGUUUUCUGGGGAAAGAGGAACAAAAGUCAUGCUUCUGGUCAAUAAUAUUUAAUCAGAAGGAGGAAGAAAUCUGAAAACAAGCACGUCUUAAAUGAGAGAGGUUUGGAGGAACAUGGAGAAGAUGCCCCAAGGUUAUGUGAAGAGCCAUUGAGAUGGCAUAUGCUGUAGACCUGUUGCUUCAGUAGGCAAAGUGAAGCGGAUCCAAGUUGCCACUCAGACAAGAGCUGAUAUGCUCUAUCACCAGCCACUCAAGAUACUUCAGCACUGUGGAUGGAAGCGCCACUGGGCGAUAGUCAUUGAAGCGGUUACCACACUCUUCUUGGGCCCUGGUAUGAUUGAAGCCUGCUUGAAACAGAGUGCUGCCAGAGAAAGCCAUUGCAGCUGGUUUGCUGCUGAACCAAGUGUCUAGAUGGGCACUUACAUCACUUGGGUACAGAGGGCAAUGGACCAAGUACUGAAUAUGUCAGGAUUAACACCAAAAGAUACCCACCGGUCAUCAUGGAUGAGUUGGGCUGAAUGGUCUGUAUCCAUGCUGCAUUUUAUGCUAUCUAAUCUGCAGUGUGUUUCCAGUAUUGUCUGUUUUUAUUUAAGAUUUCCACCAUUUACAUUUCUUUUGAUUUUAAUUUGUAGUUGUGGAGGCUGGGGCAUUUAAGAAGGAGACAGAUACAUACUGAGAGAAACAAGAGCUAUGUGGGACUAACAGAGAAUAACUAAUAAAGCUGCAGCCUUGCAGGUUCUGCUUCCAUGAUACUUGAUAUUUCAACUAAUUCUCUCAGGAGGCUAUAGAUCGGCAAAUCCAGCAGCUCUGGAACGCUCAUUGCUAAACAUGUCUCUAACAUGAUCCAACUUCAACCAAGAAUAUUCUCAAACAAAAGAGAAUGGAAAUCAAUAAGGCACUAACUUUCCUUCUGCCUGGCAUCACAGUGCAAUCAUGGAACUUCAUCACCGAACCACCUCCAUAAAUCUUCCUCAAAAUCAGCAUCGUUUAAUAUCCCUGAAAUAUGUUCUGAAAUUCGUUGUUUUGCAGCAGCUGUGUAGUUAAUGCAGAGAAAUACAGUUCUGUUACAGGCCCUUGGGGCCCAUCAAGCCUGUGCCGGCAAAUUAUACCCAUGAGGCUAAUUAACCUACUAACCCGUAAGCCUUUGGAAUAGAGGGGGAAACCGGAGCAUCUGGAGGAAAACCGGAGUACAUGGUCUUAAGGAGAACGUACAAACUCCUUUCAGACAGUGGUGGAAUUGAACCUGGGUUGCUGGCACUGUAAUAGUGUUGCACUGACUGCUAUGCUACCAUGCCACUCAAAUAAGUAACAAAAAUAAAUGUGCAUGCAAAAAGAGAGCUUAAUAGUGAGGUAUUUAAUGGACUGCACAGCAAUCUGAUGGUGGAGGGGAAGACACUGUUCCUAAAACGUUUAUCAUUCACUAAUUAUACACUAAUCAGGAUGUGUACUCACUGAGCCACCUAGUACUUCUUCAUUUACAAUUUGACAAGUAUGGGUUUAUUUUUAACAAUGAACUUUGCUACUGUCACUGGGAAAUCCAAUAAGUUACAGGUCCUUGGCAGUGUGGCGGCAACACUGCCACAACAAGUUAAAUUGCUGUCUCACAGCUCUGCAACUAGGGUUUAUCCCUGUCCUCAGGUGCUAUGUGUGGAGUUUGAAUGUUCUCUUUGUAAUCAGGUGAGAUUCCUCCAGUUCUGCCAAGGACAGUGAGGUUAGUAGGUUUAUUGGCUUCUGCAAAUUGCUCUUGGUAUACUAGUGAAUAGAAGAAUACAAUAAUAGAUGCUGAGACUGAGAAUAAAAUGCAAUUCAGGUUAAUGGGCUGGCACAGCCUUGGUGAGCCUGAAGGCUUGUUUCAAUGCUGAGGACUCUCGUGAUGUUAUCAUUAACAGCAACAAGCUCAAAAUCGCUGAACUAUUUGCACCAAUUACUUUUUCUUGUGAUACCCAAGCUUAACAGCUACCCAUCUAAUGCCAGGUUUUUUUACGAUGUUACAAAUAUAGUCAGUGGCCACUUUAUUAGGAACACCUAGACACCUGCUCCUGAAUGCAAAUAUCUAAUCAGCCAAUCAUGUGGUAGCAACUCAGUGCAUAAUAGCAUUCAAGCAUUGUCAAGUGGUUCAGUUGUUGUUCAGACCAUACUUCAGAAUGGAGAAGAAAUAUGAUCUAUGUGACUUUGACAGUGGAAUGAUUGUUGGUGCCAGAUGUGGUGGUUUGCAUAUCUCAGAAACCACUGAUCUCCUGGAAUCUUCAUGCACAACAUUCUCUAGAAUUUACAGAGCACUGCGCGAAACAAAAAAAAACCCAACUAGUGAGCGGCAGUUCAAUGGACGUAAACGCCUUAUUGAUCAGAGAGGUCAGAGGAGAAUGGCCAGAUCGUUUCAAGCUGACAAGAAGACACCUGUAACUCUUAUAACCAUGCGUUACAACAGUGGUGUGAAUGCCCAGCACAUGGGACUGCAAAGUGGAUGGCCAUUUCUGAUUCCGCUGCUGUACAAUCCUAUAGCUAAUGAAGUGGUCACUGAAUGUAUAUAGGAAGUCAAGCUAGGGUGCCUCAGAAGUUUGUACAGUACUGUAGUAAUUUUUUCUAUUGCAUUGUGCUGCUGCUGCAGCAAAAUAUGUAAAUUUCAUGAUAUAUGUGAGUGAUGAUAAACCUGACUCUGAUAUGGGUCUCUUUAGUGGACUGAGAGUGGGAAGAGAGAAGGGAGAAGGUAAUCAUAUUUGGGUCAAGGAGAAGGAUGAGGGAAGGGAGCAGGAAGCACCAGAGAGACAUUUUGUAAUAAUCA